rnacentral:rRNA from 1 species
GUGGGGAAUCUUAGACAAUGGGGGAAACCCUGAUCUAGCCAUGCCGCGUGAGCGAUGAAGGCCUUAGGGUUGUAAAGCUCUUUCAGCUGGGAAGAUAAUGACUGUACCAGCAGAAGAAGCCCCGGCUAACUCCGUGCCAGCAGCCGCGGUAAUACGGAGGGGGCUAGCGUUAUUCGGAAUUACUGGGCGUAAAGCGCACGUAGGCGGACCGGAAAGUCAGAGGUGAAAUCCCAGGGCUCAACCUUGGAACUGCCUUUGAAACUCCUGGUCUUGAGGUCGAGAGAGGUGAGUGGAAUUCCGAGUGUAGAGGUGAAAUUCGUAGAUAUUCGGAGGAACACCAGUGGCGAAGGCGGCUCACUGGCUCGAUACUGACGCUGAGGUGCGAAAGCGUGGGGAGCAAACAGGAUUAGAAACCCUUGUAGUCC